rnacentral:rRNA from 1 species
UCCUACGGGGGGCAGCAGUGAGGAAUAUUGGUCAAUGGGCGGGAGCCUGAACCAGCCAAGUCGCGUGAGGGAAGACGGUCCUAUGGAUUGUAAACCUCUUUAGGCGGGGAGCAAUGCCGGGCACGCGUGCCCGGAGGGAGAGUACCCGCAGAAUAAGCAUCGGCUAACUCCGUGCCAGCAGCCGCGGUAAUACGGAGGAUGCGAGCGUUAUCCGGAUUUAUUGGGUUUAAAGGGUGCGUAGGCGGAUUUUUAAGUCAGCGGUAAAAUGUCCGGGCUCAACUCGGGCCGGCCGUUGAAACUGGGGG